rnacentral:rRNA from 1 species
CCUACGGGUGGCAGCAGUGGGGGAUAUUGCACAAUGGAGGAAACUCUGAUGCAGCGACGCCGCGUGCAGGAUGACGGCUCUAUGAGUUGUAAACUGCUUUUGUACGAGGGUAAACCCCGAUACGUGUAUCGGGUUGAAAGUAUCGUACGAAUAAGGAUCGGCUAACUCCGUGCCAGCAGCCGCGGUAAUACGGAGGAUCCGAGCGUUAUCCGGAUUUAUUGGGUUUAAAGGGUGCGUAGGCGGUUUGAUAAGUUAGAGGUGAAAUGUCGGGGCUCAACCCCGAAACUGCCUCUAAUACUGUUGGACUAGAGAAUAGUUGCGGUAGGCGGAAUGUAUGGUGUAGCGGUGAAAUGCUUAGAGAUCAUACAGAACACCGAUUGCGAAGGCAGCUUACCAAACUAUAUCUGACGUUGAGGCACGAAAGCGUGGGUAGCAAACAGGAUUAGAUACCCGGGUAGUC